AUUCAAGCUAUGAUUUGGCUUCUGGUCUGUUCUUCCUAAAACAGACUGCUCAUGAGAAAAUAGGGGUUGUGGACGCUCAGUGGAUUGUUCAUCAAACUGUUCCUUCUCUGGGGAACCAGGGGGUGGCACAAAAUGGGAAGCAACCAUGGGAAGGGGUUAGAGAAAGGUGUAGACAAGAAUGGUCCAUUUUCCAAGACAGAUUUGCAGCUGCAGACAAGGCUUAU